rnacentral:lncRNA from 1 species
CGCAAUCAAUGAAAGCUGGCCAGGAGAAAAGGUCCUUCAGGAAUCGGAUGCAGUGAGGAAGAGGAGGAUGAAGAGGAUCGCAGAACGAUCAUCUGCUUCUUUGGACACAUUGUUAUCCCUGAUUCUCAGAGGUAUGUCGGGGUGAGCUGGUCAAGUGGACUGUUAUCUCGCAUGGCCCUGUACAAACCCGUAUGACCGUCUGCCUGCACGCUGAGCCGGGGGAGCAUGAGGAUAAACGGAUGCAUGAGCCUUCAUCACUCUCCCUCCACCAACAUCAUCAUCAUCAUCAUCAUCAUCAUCAUCAUCAUUUACCUUGAAGGGGGUGAGGAGGAGGUGCUCCAGAACACAUCAGACGCUCCUCUGCGGGUGGAAAGGGAGAGAAGUGGUGACUUGCCGAUUUUCUCAGAUCAGCAGCGCUGAUGACUUCUCUCAGGGGGAGCUGACCCAAUUCGCCUGGGUGUUUAUCACCGGCACAACAAGGUCAUGGCUGACAAAGCAGCGCUAGUGUGGUCUCUUUAUGCUGUGGGGUGGGAUGGGAAGGCCCAGGGCGGU